GUUACCCAGGAUGAAGAUGGGUCUUUGAAGUGGGAAAGUGUGAGUCAGGGCCCAGAGUAAGCACUGGGAAGUGGAGGGAGAGCAUGAAAGAGCCUCAGAGAGCAAGAAAAGUCCCAACGUGCAGAGCAAAUGGCACUCAGCCCCUCUGGUCAUGAGGAAGAGUCACUGCAUUGUACAAACACGUACAAAAGGAGGACUCAGUCAUUCCCAAGAAAUCAUUUAGUCAACCCAGAGAUGAAGUCCCACACCAGGAGUAUCCGCGGAGUCUCAGAUGCCACCUGGAAAAGGAUGCUCCGAUUAGAGUGGAUGUGUGUUCAACGUCAGGUGUCAGGAGACAGCCCAGGUCAGGUGUUGGAGCAGUGGCGAGAAGGGAUCCUGUGGCCUUGCAAAUCCAGCUCCCAUUUUCCAAGAAACAGAAAGAGGAAUAAAAUGAAUAAGCGGCACAUGCCAGCAUGUAACAUAAGGGAUACGCCCUAAGGAAGAGGCGUGGCUGAGAACAGGUGCCAAGGAAAUUUCCAAUCCAGGCUUCUCCCCGGGCAGACUGUUCCUAGAAUACACGUGGGCUUUUCUCACUGACAUGUCGAGCAGGGUAAACUGAGGCUCAAAGCUGGUGAUGGACUUGCUGAGGUCACCUGGCUGACCCCUGGGGAGACGCUAUGGACAUCAGCACAGUGACAGAGGUCAACACACCUGCGUCAAGGAUGGAAAGUGAGAGGAGAGAGAAUGAGGCUUCCUCACCCCGACCCGCGUGGCAUUCCCCAGGAUGAGCCCAGGGAAGACAGGAAUGAGGGGCCCACAGCCACUCAGCCUGGCAGGGCAGCAGCGGGGCCUCACCUGCAGGACGAGAAGGAGAGCUCUGACCUGGAGAGGAAGGCUCUCAUCCAUGAUCAAGACUUGAGCCCUUGAUGUCUGCCCCUUCAACCUGCUCCACUCUGGACUUCUUCUUUUCAAUGACUGGCAGCUCCAUUCACCCAGUUACUCACCCAAAACACUGGACUCUUCUCCUCUUGUUGCCCCUCACAUGCAAACCAGUGGCAAUUCUAUCAGCUGCACCUUCAAGCUGGCCAGCUCUCCUGUCCUCCAUAGCUCCGUCCAGGAGAAAGGCCACUGUCUUUGCCUAGACUGGUCUGUCAUUUCACUGCCCCGCCUCAAACCCUCUGGGCGAUUCCCCACAUUCUUAGAAUGCUAACAUCCAAACCUCUCACAGUGGCUGACAGAUGCCUAGAAAGUAUGCACUCCAUACUCCCAAAUCCUCAACAGAAGGGAGCUGGCCUGGGCUCAUCAUAAAGGGAUCUUGCCCAAUAGAGCUUCCUUGCAGGUGAGGGGCAGUGACAGAAAGAGUCUGGCGUAGGUCACAAAUGGCCACUGGAGGAGGUGAACGCCAUUCCAGAGAGCUGCAUCUGGAGGUUCCUAGUGGGGAGGGCAUGAGGAGGAGCUCUGAGAAACCCAUGCAAGCGCCCAGCUGAGAAAGAUCCAGAAGUUACACAUCAGUCACAGAGAAGGUCAGGAUGUUGGAUCCCAGCUGCAGCAUCAAGAAAGACCUUCUUGGGACUUCCCAGCGGUUGAGAAUCUCCCUGCCAAAGCAGAGGACACCAGUUUGAUCCCUGGUACUGGAAGAUCCCCCAUACCAUGGAGCAGCUAAGCCCUUUGCCCCAAAUGCUGAAGCCAGCAUGCCUGGAGUCCAUUCUCCGCAACAACAGAAGUCCCUGCUUGCCACUACGGAAAGCCUGCAUGCAGCAAUGAAGACUCAGCACAGC
ensembl:lncRNA